AAUGAACGCUGGCGGCAGGCCUAACACAUGCAAGUCGAGCGAGGACUUCGGUCCUAGCGGCGGACGGGUGAGUAACGCGUGGGAAUAUGCCCUUUGGUACGGAAUAGCCUCGGGAAACUGGGAGUAAUACCGUAUGUGCCCUUCGGGGGAAAGAUUUAUCGCCAAAGGAUUAGCCCGCGUUGGAUUAGGUAGUUGGUGGGGUAAUGGCCUACCAAGCCGAUGAUCCAUAGCUGGUUUGAGAGGAUGAUCAGCCACACUGGGACUGAGACACGGCCCAGACUCCUACGGGAGGCAGCAGUGGGGAAUCUUAGACAAUGGGCGCAAGCCUGAUCUAGCCAUGCCGCGUGAUCGAUGAAGGCCUUAGGGUUGUAGAGAUCUUUCAGAUGGGAAGAUAAUGACUGUACCAUCAGAAGAAGCCCCGGCUAACUCCGUG
rnacentral:rRNA from 1 species